UACGUAGGGGGCAAGCGUUGUCCGGAUUUAUUGGGCGUAAAGAGCGUGUAGGCGGCUUUGCAAGUCAGAGGUGAAAGCCCGGGGCUCAACCCCGGAAUUGCCUUUGAGACUGCAUCGCUAGAAUUGUGGAGAGGUAAGUGGAAUUCCGAGUGUAGAGGUGAAAUUCGUAGAUAUUCGGAAGAACACCAGUGGCGAAGGCGACUUACUGGACACAUAUUGACGCUGAGGUGCGAAAGCGUGGGGAGCAAACAGG
rnacentral:rRNA from 1 species